UGUGCAAAGCCCUAACAUUUCUA
rnacentral:miRNA from 1 species